AAAUUAAAUCAAAAUAAUUCCUAUAUUCCGCUUCCCUUGACAAAUCAGGGAGGAACAAGCAUGAUUUUAGUUGAAGAUUUAAGAAAGGAAUUGAUUACAAAACCUUCACUUGAAAUAUGGUCCAAAUCAAGGGGAACUGAGGAAAAUGAUUAAUGUAAACAAUAUUGGCAUUAAGUUUAAGUUUAGUUGAGUUGUAUAAGAUAUUGAUCACCAUCUUUUCUUAAAAAUUGUUCACCAUAAAAAAAAAUCCAUGUCCCUAAAUUCUACAAAUAUGUAACUCGCCCCAUUCCCUUGUAACAGUAUUACAUCCUAAACAAUGUUGAGAGAGGGAAAA
rnacentral:misc_RNA from 1 species